rnacentral:rRNA from 1 species
GAUGGAGCACGCCGCGUGAGUGAAGAAGGGUUUCGGCUCGUAAAACUCUGUUGUUAAAGAAGAACAUAUCUGAGAGUAACUGUUCAGGUAUUGACGGUAUUUAACCAGAAAGCCACGGCUAACUACGUGCCAGCAGCCGCGGUAAUACGUAGGUGGCAAGCGUUGUCCGGAUUUAUUGGGCGUAAAGCGAGCGCAGGCGGUUUUUUAAGUCUGAUGUGAAAGCCUUCGGCUCAACCGAAGAAGUGCAUCGGAAACUGGGAAACUUGAGUGCAGAAGAGGACAGUGGAACUCCAUGUGUAGCGGUGAAAUGCGUAGAUAUAUGGAAGAACACCAGUGGCGAAGGCGGCUGUCUGGUCUGUAACUGACGCUGAGGCUCGAAAGUAUGGGUAGCAAACAGGAUUAGAUACCCUGGUAGUCCAUACCGUAAACGAUGAAUGCUAAGUGUUGGAGGGUUUCCGCCCUUCAGUGCUGCAGCUAACGCAUUAAGCAUUCCGCCUGGGGAGUACGGCCGCAAGGCUGAAACUCAAAGGAAUUGACGGGGGCCCGCACAAGCGGUGGAGCAUGUGGUUUAAUUCGAAGCUACGCGAAGAACCUUACCAGGUCUUGACAUACUAUGCAAAUCUAAGAGAUUAGACGUUCCCUUCGGGGACAUGGAUACAGGUGGUGCAUGGUUGUCGUCAGCUCGUGUCGUGAGAUGUUGGGUUAAGUCCCGCAACGAGCGCAACCCUUAUUAUCAGUUGCCAGCAUUAAGUUGGGCACUCUGGUGAGACUGCCGGUGACAAACCGGACGAAGGUGGGGAUGACGUCAAAUCAUCAUGCCCCUUAUGACCUGGGCUACACACGUGCUACAAUGGAUGGUACAACGAGUUGCGAACUCGCGAGAGUAAGCUAAUCUCUUAAAGCCAUUCUCAGUUCGGAUUGUAGGCUGCAACUCGCCUACUU